AAACCCAUGGAACCUGAGAGCAGGGAAGGAGUGGCUCACCAGAGAAAAACAGAGGUGCUGUUCUCAGAAGGGAUCAUGGCUACCAAACAGGCUCAAGAGGGGGAUCGAUGCCAAGAAAAUUCUCCAUUUCUGAGCAUUAGCACAUCAGGCUAGAAGCACUGACUCUCCCACAAGAAGACACACUCCUGGGAUUUCCCUGGCAAUCCCGUAAGAGCCUGAAGAUCUAUUGCCGGCAGCUGGAUCGGGGUGGAGAGAGCCUUGGUCCUUGCUGUCUUUGUGCUUGGGACACUUUUCCAUUCACCUAAGAGGAAACUCCUCUCCAUCUUUCGAGAACUGUCUCCAAUGUCACUUCUCUGAAGCUUUCUCUGGUACUGACCUCUCAACUUGAAAGGAUCGCUCUUCCUCAGAGCCUGAUACUACCUGCUACCCGCU